rnacentral:lncRNA from 13 species
CAUCACCAUAAUUUUGCCUUUGAAGAAUAAAAUCUAAAUCUUUGUGUUUCAAAUGUUGGCAUAAAAUCCAAUACUUAGAGUAGUUAUAGACUUGUAUUCACACACACACACACACACACACACACACGUGUGUUCUUCUGGUUUGUUGCAGCAAGGAUUAGACAGCACUUGCACAGAUACGUGGGUUAAGGUGGCGCAUGAAGACACCAUUAGAAGGACACUUGGAAAAGGCGACCCAUUUUGCCAAUCUUCAUCAACCUUAUUGUAUUUCAGGUAGAGCAAAUAGCUUCACCUUCUUUCUCUUACACUUACUCUUGGGAAUAUUAUAAGACGAUGUCUUAGCACCAUGAUACCUCACCAGCAAAAGGCAUCUUUUUUCUGAAUGUUAUAAUCAGACAAUGGUGCAUUCAUCUUCCAGUUGCUUGCCAGCAAAAUCGAUCCCUAUUGAUUGGAAGGAAUCCUGGCUUUCACUUUUUAAAAAUUGUAUCCACGGGUUCAACCUUGAGCAUAAUAGUCUUUCUUGUUAGGGCUUUCAUGAAAAAGUGCAUCUUGGCAGCGGGUCUACUGGAGAUAGUGGAUCUGCAAAGAAGAUCCAGUUCUGAUGAAAUUUACUCAAAUUUAUCUGAAGCCGAAUUGAAGGUGGGUUAUUGCAGGAAAAAGAAAUAAGAGGUCUAGUAUCACAACUGGGGUUCCUAACUAAAGACUCAGAGGGAACAGUCAUCACUGUAAUUAGACCACCCAGACGUAGUCACCUGGAUUGUUAGAGGAAUCAGUAGAAGCUGUUCUGAAUGAAACAAGAGACUCUAAGAGAACCUCCUUGUCACCCACUGCCCACAGAUUCUGCAUCCUGGCCAGUGAUCACGGGGCAAGCUGGAGAGAAAUGGAACAGAGGAUAUCUCCCCCAAAAUAAGGCUUUUCUACAGAAAGAGGAGGAGGCUGGAGUACAGUGUUGUGAUCAUGGCUUACUACAACUUCCGCCUCCUGGGUUUAAGCCAUCCUCCCACUUCACCCUCCUGAGUAGCUUGGACUACAGGCAUGCACCACCAUGCUGGGGUAAUUUUUAAUUUUUAAUUUUUUUUUUUGGUAGAGAUGGGGUUUUGCCAUGUUGCCCAGACUGGUCUUGAACUUCUGGGCUCAAGUGAUCCCCCUGCCUGGGCCUCCUAAAGUGCUGGGAUUACAGGUGUGAGCCACCAAGCCCGGCCCGCAUAUAUAUUUUAAUUUAGAUUUCUAUUAUAGGAAUUUCAAAUAUGCACGAAAGUAGAGAGAAAAGUAUAAUGAACUCACACAAACCCAUUGGCUUUGACAUUAUUAGCAGUCUAUCAUCUUUGCUUCCAGUCUUCACUUACCUCCCCCUAUACUUUUUUUCUGGAUUAUUUUAAAUCAUUUCCCAC